rnacentral:tRNA from 1 species
GGCGGGUUGGCAGAGCGGUCUAAUACUCCCGACUUAUAAUCGGGCGACCCAGCUAGCUGGUUUGGGUCCGCGGGUUCGAUUCCCGCACCCGCCGCCA